rnacentral:rRNA from 1 species
GGUUAAGCGACUAAGCGUACACGGUGGAUGCCCUGGCAGUCAGAGGCGAUGAAGGACGUGCUAAUCUGCGAAAAGCGUCGGUAAGGUGAUAUGAACCGUUACAGCCGGCGAUGUCCGAAUGGGGAAACCCAGUGCAAUUCGUUGCACUAUCGUUAACUGAAUACAUAGGUUAACGAGGCGAACCGGGGGAACUGAAACAUCUAAGUACCCCGAGGAAAAGAAAUCAACCGAGAUUCCCCCAGUAGCGGCGAGCGAACGGGGAGCAGCCCAGAGUCUGAAUCAGCUUGUGUGUUAGUGGAACGGUCUGGAAAGUCCGACGGUACAGGGUGAUAGUCCCGUACACCAAAAUGCACAGGCUGUGAACUCGAAGAGUAGGGCGGGACACGUGGUAUCCUGUCUGAAUAUGGGGGGACCAUCCUCCAAGGCUAAAUACUCCUGACUGACCGAUAGUGAACCAGUACCGUGAGGGAAAGGCGAAAAGAACCCCGGCGAGGGGAGUGAAAAAGAACCUGAAACCGUGUACGUACAAGCAGUGGGAGCACCUUCGGGUGUGACUGCGUACCUUUUGUAUAAUGGGUCAGCGACUUAUAUUCUGUAGCAAGGUUAACCGUAUAGGGGAGCCGCAGGGAAACCGAGUCUUAACUGGGCGUUAAGUUGCAGGGUAUAGACCCGAAACCCGGUGAUCUAGCCAUGGGCAGGUUGAAGGUUGGGUAACACUAACUGGAGGACCGAACCGACUAAUGUUGAAAAAUUAGCGGAUGACUUGUGGCUGGGGGUGAAAGGCCAAUCAAACCGGGAGAUAGCUGGUUCUCCCCGAAAGCUAUUUAGGUAGCGCCUCGUGAACUCAUCUUCGGGGGUAGAGCACUGUUUCGGCUAGGGGGUCAUCCCGACUUACCAACCCGAUGCAAACUACGAAUACCGAAGAAUGUUAUCACGGGAGACACACGGCGGGUGCUAACGUCCGUCGUGAAGAGGGAAACAACCCAGACCGCCAGCUAAGGUCCCAAAGUCAUGGUUAAGUGGGAAACGAUGUGGGAAGGCACAGACAGCCAGGAUGUUGGCUUAGAAGCAGCCAUCAUUUAAAGAAAGCGUAAUAGCUCACUGGUCGAGUCGGCCUGCGCGGAAGAUGUAACGGGGCUAAACCAUGCACCGAAGCUGCGGCAGCGACACUAUGUGUUGUUGGGUAGGGGAGCGUUCUGUAAGCCUGCGAAGGUGACCUGUGAGGGUUGCUGGAGGUAUCAGAAGUGCGAAUGCUGACAUAAGUAACGAUAAAGCGGGUGAAAAGCCCGCUCGCCGGAAGACCAAGGGUUCCUGUCCAACGUUAAUCGGGGCAGGGUGAGUCGACCCCUAAGGCGAGGCCGAAAGGCGUAGUCGAUGGGAAACAGGUUAAUAUUCCUGUACUUGGUGUUACUGCGAAGGGGGGACGGAGAAGGCUAUGUUAGCCGGGCGACGGUUGUCCCGGUUUAAGCAUGUAGGCUGGUUAUCCAGGCAAAUCCGGAUAAUCAAGGCUGAGGUGUGAUGACGAGGCACUACGGUGCUGAAGUAACAAAUGCCCUGCUUCCAGGAAAAGCCUCUAAGCAUCAGGUAACAUCAAAUCGUACCCCAAACCGACACAGGUGGUCAGGUAGAGAAUACCAAGGCGCUUGAGAGAACUCGGGUGAAGGAACUAGGCAAAAUGGUGCCGUAACUUCGGGAGAAGGCACGCUGGUGUGUAGGUGAAGCCCCUGCGGGUGGAGCUGAGACCAGUCGAAGAUACCAGCUGGCUGCAACUGUUUAUUAAAAACACAGCACUGUGCAAACACGAAAGUGGACGUAUACGGUGUGACGCCUGCCCGGUGCCGGAAGGUUAAUUGAUGGGGUUAUCCGUAAGGAGAAGCUCUUGAUCGAAGCCCCGGUAAACGGCGGCCGUAACUAUAACGGUCCUAAGGUAGCGAAAUUCCUUGUCGGGUAAGUUCCGACCUGCACGAAUGGCGUAAUGAUGGCCAGGCUGUCUCCACCCGAGACUCAGUGAAAUUGAACUCGCUGUGAAGAUGCAGUGUACCCGCGGCAAGACGGAAAGACCCCGUGAACCUUUACUAUAGCUUGACACUGAACAUUGAGCCUUGAUGUGUAGGAUAGGUGGGAGGCUUUGAAGCGUGGACGCCAGUCUGCGUGGAGCCAACCUUGAAAUACCACCCUUUAAUGUUUGAUGUUCUAACGUUGGCCCCUUACCGGGGUUGCGGACAGUGUCUGGUGGGUAGUUUGACUGGGGCGGUCUCCUCCCAAAGCGUAACGGAGGAGCACGAAGGUUAGCUAAUCCUGGUCGGACAUCAGGAGGUUAGUGCAAUGGCAUAAGCUAGCUUGACUGCGAGCGUGACGGCGCGAGCAGGUGCGAAAGCAGGUCAUAGUGAUCCGGUGGUUCUGAAUGGAAGGGCCAUCGCUCAACGGAUAAAAGGUACUCCGGGGAUAACAGGCUGAUACCGCCCAAGAGUUCAUAUCGACGGCGGUGUUUGGCACCUCGAUGUCGGCUCAUCACAUCCUGGGGCUGAAGUAGGUCCCAAGGGUAUGGCUGUUCGCCAUUUAAAGUGGUACGCGAGCUGGGUUUAGAACGUCGUGAGACAGUUCGGUCCCUAUCUGCCGUGGGCGCUGGAGAAUUGAGGGGGGCUGCUCCUAGUACGAGAGGACCGGAGUGGACGCAUCACUGGUGUUCGGGUUGUCAUGCCAAUGGCACUGCCCGGUAGCUAAAUGCGGAAGAGAUAAGUGCUGAAAGCAUCUAAGCACGAAACUUGCCCCGAGAUGAGUUCUCCCUGAGACUUUAAGUCUCCUGAAGGAACGUUGAAGACGACGACGUUGAUAGGCCGGGUGUGUAAGCGCAGCGAUGCGUUGAGCUAACCGGUACUAAUGAACCGUGAGGCUUAACCUU